UUCAUCAGCCUUAUUAUUUGCAGGUAUAUCUGAUGAUUUUUCUUUUGUUGCUGUUUUGUUUCUUCCAGGUAUGACUGCUGGAAUUUUAUUACUGGUUUCAGAUUGUAUAUUAUCUGAACUUUCAGUUUCUGUUUUGUUUUUUUCUUGAUAUUCAUUAUGAUGAUGAAUGAUUUGAUUAUAAAAUUCUUGUAAUGGUUUUCCAUUAUCCUUUAUACUUUUAAUUGAGUUUUUGAAGGGGAAAAUAUUUUCCCUAAAUGUUAUAUUUCUUGAAAUAUGAAAAUCCAUAUUUUCCAAGUCUAAUAUGAGAUAUCCUUUUGUAUUGGAUGGAUAUCCCAUAAAAACACCUUUAAAUGUUCUUGGUGAAAAUUUGUGAUCCCUUUUAUUUGUGGUUGCAUAACAUAAACAACCAAAUGUUUUAAGAUUGUUAUAACUAGGUGUUUGUUUAUAUAAUACUUCAUAAGGAGUUUUAUUUUUUAAAACCUUUGAAGGGAUCUUAUUGAUUAAAUGAGCAGCUGUUAAAACACACUCCCCCCAAUAUUUUAGGGGUACUGCACUUUGAAAAUGCAGUGCUCUUGCUACUUCCAAUAGAUGCUUGUGUUUUCUUUCCACAAUAGCAUUCUGUUGGGGAGUAUAUGGACAGGAAUAUUGAUGAAUUAUUCCAUGUCUAUCUAGCAAUGUUUUGAAUUUAAUUGAAUUAAAUUCUCCUCCAUUGUCACUUCUUAUUGUUUUUAUAUUUUUGUUAAAAAAAUUCUUAACUCUUGUUAUGAAUCUUGUCAUGCAUUCUAAAACCAUAUCUUUGGUUUUGAUUAAAAAAAUCCAAGUCAUCCUACUUAGAUCCUCAACUAUAGUUAGGAAAAAGGAAUAACCAUCAUGUGUGGUUAUUGGAAAUUUUCCCCAAACAUCUAUGUGUAUUAGAUCAAAUAGAUGUUUUGAUUUUGACAAGCUAUUUUUGAAUUUUAAUUUGGCUUGCUUUGCAAAUGGACAGAUAUUACAUGUUUCUUUUAUAGAAUCAAAAUCUUUAUUUAAAACUGAAUUUAUUUGUUUAUUUUGAAAAACAUAUCCAUUAUCUAGUUUAUUACAAUCUGAAAAUGUUUUACAUUCUAUUUUAUUAUCCUUAGCCAGAAGCUUCAUCUUCUCUGAUGAUAAAUGCCCCAGCCUUCUAUGCCAAAUUUGAGAGUCCAUGGCUAUACAAGCAAGAUCAGGAGAUUGUGGCUUCAAAAAGUAGAGUCCACCUUGGCAUCUACCCUGCCCAAUCACUUUCCCUGAUAUUCUUUCCUGAAAUUGACAUUUGAUCUCAUCAAAAAUGACAUUUACAUUUGAGUCAUAUGCUAAUCUAUUGACUGAAAUUAGAUUAACCUUGAAUUGGGGAAUAUAUAAGACGUUUUUCAGUACAAUAUCUUUAGAUAUUGUUAUAUUUCCUGUUGAGAUAACUUUGCAUUUUUCACCACUUGGUAUGGUGACAAAAUGCUCAUAUUCUUCUAUUAUGGUUUUAUCAAAUAAAUGGAUGCUUCCAGUCAUAUGCUUGGAAGCUCCAGUAUCUAUGAUCCAAGUAUUUUUAAAAUUUAAUGAAUUAAAUGAAAAAUUCAUACCUGAGGAUUUAUUUAAAAAAUCCUUAAGCAUCAUGAGUUCUUCAUUAGUCAAGUUUUGCAAAUUCGUUGAGGUUGAGGCCUGAUUUGCUGUUUCUGAAGAAUCUCUCUUUGGAUCAUCUUUCUUUUCUUUUCUGAAUUUCUUUUUAUCAUUUGGAAAUCCUACCAAAUGAUAGCAUUCUUCUCUUGUAUGCCCAAAAAACUUGCAGUUAUCACAAUAGUAUCUGCUAUCUAAUUUUUUUCCAUUCUUAGCAUAUAUCCCCUUUCUCUUUGGUUCUUCCUUUUUUCCUUCUUUUUCAUAUUUCUUUGCAAAAAAAGCAUUAGACUCCCCACCCAAUUUUUCUUUGUAGUUGUCCCUAUGUUUUUCUUCUUGUGUUGCCAAACAGAAAACUUGGUUCAUAGUGGGGAGUUCAGGGUAUGCUAGAAUCUGGCUUCUGAGAUUCCUGAAAUUAUCAUUCAAUCCUAGCAAAAAAUGGUGUAUUCUAUCUUUUUCCAAUUUCCUAUUAUAAAUUGGAAUACAACUAGCACAGAAAUUGCAAUCAGGUUUUUCAAUUUCAAUAAACUGAUCCCAUAAUGACUUAAAUCUAUCAAAAAAAAUGGAAACAGUUUCAUCUGAUUGCUUUAAGGUAUUUAUCUCAUACCUUAGCUGACUUGUCUUGGGUGCAUUUUUCUGUUUAUAUCUUUCUUGGAGAUCAGCCCAUGCUUCAUAUGCAACUUCUGUAUGAAUUAGAGUUGACGCAAUUUGGGGAGAAACACUGUUGAUGAUCCAAGAGAGGACUAGGCCAUUCAACAUUUCCCAAUCCUCAUAAUCUUCCCCUGUUUCAUUCAGGGGUUUCUUUAUUUUUCCAUUUAUAAAGGCUGUCUUCUUUCUUGAAACUAAAGACAGCUUCAUGCUGUUUGCCCAAGCUACAUAAUUCCCUUCUCCUGUAAGUCUAUCUGCCACCAUUUGGGCACCUGGGUGGUCUCCAGCAGUUAGGUAAUAAGGAGAAGUUCUUGAGUAUUUAGUCUCCUCCUUGUGUUUUCUAAAACCUGUUUUCUUCUUCAACCUGCUGGAAUUCUUUGAAUUAAUUGAAGAAGGUUUACUUUUACCUUGGCUGCUCGAAUUUGUGGAGCUUUCUUCAUUGGAAUUCUCCUUUUCUUUAUCAGGGUCUACAAUCUUAGCGGAAGCUUUUCUUGGAUUGCAUUCAGUGGCUGGAACAUCUGGAACAUCCGAUACCAUGUUAAAUCCAGUGGGAGGUGAUCGCCGGAGCUGUCGAGUGAUUAUCCGAGGCCGAAUUGCCCGGAUGAAUAUUCAAUUCGUUGAUUAACAACGAGAGGAAGAAAGGGGCGGAUUCUAGGGUUCUUCGUAUUAACUGAACCCCUAGUAUCCGUUGAGAGUAGGGUUUAGAGAGAGUUGAGUUGUAAUUAAUUUGAUUAAUUAAUCAUGGGUUUUACAGAUCAUUAUAUACUAAUUACAGUUGGACUUAAUUAACUUUAAUUAUAGUUAUUACAACAGUAUUAAUAUCUUUAACUGUAUUGCUAAUACUAACUAUAAUUCUAACACUUAAUUAACUAAAUCUGUACUGGUCCGCAGCCCACAUCUGCACUGGUCCACAGCCCAUUCCGAUUUCAGUCCAACUGCAUUAAUGGGAGAUUUGCAAUCUUUACCCAGAGUUUCUUUGUUAUUGCAAAUAUAACAUUCACUUAAAUAUUUGCAAUCUUUACCCAAAGUUUCUUUGUUAUUGCAAAUAUAACAUUCACUUAAAUAUUUGCAAUCUUUACCCAAAGUUUCUUUGUUAUUACAAAUAUAUCAUUUAUUUAAAUAUUUGCAACAUUUAUCCAAAGUUUCUUUGUUAUUAUCUGUCUCGUAUUAUUAAACAGAUAAUUACUCUUAGGUCCUGUGACCAUGAUUAAGGUAUAUUAUAAAUCAAAUUAUGUGAUUCUGAUAAUUCCUUUA
rnacentral:lncRNA from 1 species